AAGGAUUUAAGUUAAAUAAACUUUUAACCUUCAAAGUUAAAUAUAAAGAAAUACUCUUUAAGCCUUA
rnacentral:tRNA from 1 species